rnacentral:rRNA from 1 species
ACUCCUACGGGAGGCAGCAGUGGGGAAUAUUGCACAAUGGGGGAAACCCUGAUGCAGCCAUGCCGCGUGUGUGAAGAAGGCCUUCGGGUUGUAAAGCACUUUCAGUAGGGAGGAAGGUAGUGUAGUUAACACCUGCAUUAUUUUGACGUACCUACAGAAGAAGCACCGGCUAACUCCGUGCCAGCAGCCGCGGUAAUACGGAGGGUGCGAGCGUUAAUCGGAAUUACUGGGCGUAAAGCGCAUGCAGGCGGCCUGUUAAGUCAGAUGUGAAAGCCCGGGGCUUAACCUCGGAAUUGCAUUUGAAACUGGCAGGCUAGAGUCUUGUAGAGGGGGGUAGAAUUUCAGGGUGUAGCGGUGAAAUGCGUAGAGAUCUGAAGGAAUACCAGUGGCGAAGGCGGCCCCCUGGACAAAGACUGACGCUCAGAUGCGAAAGCGUGGGGAGCAAACAGGAUUAGAUACCCUGGUAGGAUAG